rnacentral:lncRNA from 1 species
UCGUAGGUUCCACCAGAACAGGGCUGCAUUAUAGAUCAUGACCGUGGCGAUCCUGUUGCCCGACUUCAUUCUGUAGAGGGGGCUCUUCCUGGACGUGGCGUGGUCGAAGUGGGGCUCGUAGUGGCCGCCCAGCCCAUAGUUGACCACCUGCAGGUACUCAGCGUAGGGUGGCCGCAGAUCCAGGCCGGUGAUGGCUGCCAUGCGCAGCUCCAGCGCCUGCACCACGGGGUCGGCCGUGUCCUUCAGCCAGGCACUCUUGCUUAUCCGGUACUCUACUUUCUGCUGCUUCUCUCCAGAGGCGACCACAGACCUCUGCAGCCAGGGCCCUGCCAGUCCCUUAAUGGUCUCAGCCUCGGCAUCGCUGACAAAGUCGUGGUACAGCACAAUGUAGGGCUGGAGCCGCAGCGUCUCCUUCUUGGCAGGCUGCAGCAGGAGGUAGGGGCUGCCAUUGGUCUCAUAGGAACAGCCAAGGUGUGAGGGCCGCUCCGGGGCCAUCUGUGCCCCCAGGCCCUGGCACAGCUCCUCGUAGGCAUCCCGGUUCUGCAGCUGGGUGACAUUGGGGCGCUGCAGGGGUGCCCCCACGCGGUCCCCAUGUGUUGCCAGCAGCUUCUCAUACUUGGCCACGUUCCUCGUCACCCUCUGGUUGCUGGGAUCAUAGUGAAGAAACUCCCUGGAGAGAGUCAAUGCAUGGGAGAUGUUUCCAGCCAUGAAGUAGGAGAAGGCGAGGUAGUCCAGCGCAUCCUCCAGGCUGCCCCGCUCCUCCUCCGGGUUCCAGCUGCCAUAGGAGAGGCGAAAACGGCUGACGGCCUCUUCCAGCCAUGCAAUGGAGUGGUAGUAGUCACCUGUGUCAUAGGCCACCACGGCUGUUUUCGGUGGCCUCGCUGCUGUACACAACGCUGGGCCAGUCGGAGCUCAGGCGUUUGAUGAGGCUGAAGGCCAACAAGGGGUUGUCCACCGAGGCUCCGGGGUCCUGGUGCAGUGCCCGGACCUUCUCAUAGAACCUGCUCAGGCGGCGGAGCCGGGUGCUCUCCUCCCGGAGGUACGCACGGAGCCGCCGCAGCAGCCGCCCCUCAUUGCCCCGCGCCUGACGGACGCUGCGCAGCGCUGAGAAGGUGUCGGUGUGGGCGGGGGGCAGCCAGGCCAGCAGGGCCCCCAGCCCCAGCACCCCCACGGCCCGCAUCCCCCUCCCGGAGGCCGGAGUGGGAGGGAAGGAUGGAGGGAGG